rnacentral:rRNA from 1 species
GACGAACGCUGGCGGCGUGCUUAACACAUGCAAGUCGAACGGAAAGGCCCUUCUUUUGUUGGGUGCUCGAGUGGCGAACGGGUGAGUAACACGUGAGUAACCUGCCCUUGACUUUGGGAUAACUUCAGGAAACUGGGGCUAAUACCGUAUAGGAGCUCCUGCUUCAUGGUGGGGGUUGGAAAGUUUCGGCGGUUGGGGAUGGACUCGCGGCUUGUCAGCUUGUUGGUGGGGUAGUUGCUUACCAAGGCUUUGACGGGUAGCCGGCCUGAGAGGGUGACAGGCAAGAUUGGGACUGAGAUACGGCCCAGACUCCUACGGGAGGCAGCAGUGGGGAAUAUUGCAAAAUGGGCGGAAGCCGGAUGCAGCAACGCCGCGUGCGGGAUGACGGCCUUCGGGUUGUAAACCGCUUUCGCCUGUGACGAAGCGUGAGUGACGGUAAUGGGUAAAGAAGCACCGGCUAACUACGUG